AGAACCAAGUGAAAAAUCAGAGGCCACCUACAUGACCAUGCACCCAGUUUGGCCUUCUCUGAGGUCAGAUCGGAACAACUCACUUGAAAAAAAGUCAGGUGGGGGAAUGCCAAAAACACAGCAAGCCUUUUGAGAAGAAUGGAGAGUCCCUUCAUCUCAGCAGCGGUGGAGACUCUCUCCUGUGUGUGUCCUGGGCCACUCUACCAGUGAUUUCAGACUCCCGCUCUCCCAGCUGUCCUCCUGUCUCAUUGUUUGGUCAAUACACUGAAGAUGGAGAAUUUGGAGCCUGGCAGAGAGACUGGACAGCUCUGGAGGAACAGGCCUGCUGAGGGGAGGGGAGCAUGGACUUGGCCUCUGGAGUGGGACACUGGCCCUGGGAACCAGGCUGAGCUGAGUGGCCUCAAACCCCCCGUUGGAUCAGACCCUCCUGUGGGCAGGGUUCUUAGUGGAUGAGUUACUGGGAAGAAUCAGAGAUAAAAACCAACC
rnacentral:lncRNA from 1 species